GCGCGCGUCAGUCGAUCGGCCACGGGGCCGGGGGCCUGCCGUCUGCGCCUGCCGCACGCACGCGCAGUGCACCCAGCAUGAGGGUCGCGGCCCUGAUCAGUGGUGGGAAGGACAGCUGUUACAACAUGAUGCAGUGUAUUGCUGCAGGGCAUCAUAUUGUUGCUUUAGCAAAUCUGAGACCAGAUGAAAACCAAGUGGAGUCAGAAGAACUUGAUAGCUACAUGUAUCAGACAGUGGGUCACCAUGGCAUUGAUCUGUAUGCAGAAGCAAUGGCUCUUCCCUUGUACCGCAGAACCAUAAGAGGAAGGAGCUUGGAGACAGGAAAAAUGUAUACCACAUGUGAAGGUGAUGAAGUUGAAGAUCUCUAUGAACUCUUGAAACUUGUUAAGGAAAAAGAAGAAAUAGAAGGGGUAUCAGUAGGUGCUAUACUUUCUGAUUAUCAACGUGUGCGAGUAGAAAAUGUAUGUAAACGGCUUAAUCUCCAGCCUUUAACUUACCUUUGGCAGAGAAACCAGGAAGACUUGCUCCGAGAGAUGAUAGCAUCUAAUAUUGAAGCCAUUAUCAUCAAAGUAGCAGCUUUGGGCUUAGAUCCUGAUAAGCAUCUUGGGAAAACCCUGGAUGAAAUGGAGCCUUAUCUUUUUGAGGUACUGCUGGUCAAACUACCUAUAACAAUUGUUCUCCCUUCCUCAGAAGUCUUCAUUUACUCAACAAACAGCUUUCUAAGAAGUAUGGUGUCCAUGUAUGUGGGGAAGGUGGCGAAUAUGAAACAUUCACUUUGGAUUGCCCUCUAUUUAAGAAGAAAAUUGUUGUGGACUCCUCCGAAGUAGUCAUACACUCUGCUGAUGCAUUUGCACCUGUGGCUUAUCUACGACUUUCAGAGUUGCACCUGGAAGAAAAGGUGUCUGCAGUACCUGGGAAUGAUGAAACAAUUAAUUAUAUACACAAUUCUUGAAAUUUAUGCUGCAUUUUAAAAAUUAUGACCAACUUUCGUCAUUAAGUUUUUGUACUUCUUCAAAAAAUAUAAUGGGACCAUUGAUUAACUGAAAGAAUUUCAGUGAACUCUUCUCUUAAUAUUGCCAAUUUUCUAAACUUUCUUUCCUUUUAAAAAAAUAAUUUCUUUUAUUUUUUGAGAUUAUAAUAUAAUUACAUCAUCUCCCCCUCUUCCUCUAAGCCCUACACUAUAUCCCUCCUUUCUCACUUUGAAAUUUAUGGCCUUUUUUUUAAAUUACUGUUUUUACAUACCUCACUCUUUCUGUGUCUCUGUUUCUUUCUGUCUCUGCCCCUCUCUCUCUCUCUCU